CAUUUAAUGCGUUGAAAUCAUAUAAAUGAAAUAUUUAUGAGUAUUUUAAUGAUUAAUGAUUUAUCGACCAAACGAACGGCACUUAGUGUGCGAAGUAUUGAGGAUGACACUUAGUGUGCGAGACAUCUGAAAUGGCCCUUAGUAGGAUGGCACUUAGUGUGCGAGACAUUUGAAAUGGCACUUAGCGUGCGAAGUAUUGAGGAUGGCACUUAGUGUGCGAGACAUCCGAAAUGGCACUUAGUAUACGAAGUAUUGAUGAUGACACUUAGUGUGCGAAACAUCCGAAAUGACACUUAGUGUGCGAAGUAUCGAGGAUGGCGCUUAGUGUGCGAAACAUCCGGUAUAGCACUUAGCGUGCAAGACAUCGAUUGUGCAGCGACAUUUCGUAUAUCGGAAGUUCGCGCGGUUGGAAGAGUCAGAGACAUCAUCACACUAUCUAUUGGCUAUUUUGGUACUCAUGGUUUAUUAUUUUUGGGUUAUAAUGGCAUUGUAUAGGUUGUUGGGCUAAUGUAGCCUACAUGAUUUGGUCAAGUAUUUAGCCAUUUGAUUUGGCUUUUUUUUUUGAUAAAUGUUGUUGUGUAUAUAUAAGUAAACGGCCUCGUCAUAUUGAUAUAUGUAUCAUCAUGGUUAUGUGUGCUAGUAUGAGAUGAUAUAUGAUUGAUAUUGGUUGGCUUUGAAUGCAUGAUAAAUGCCACUUGGAUGCUGAGGUUUAUAUGAGAAA